GAUGAACGCUGGCGGCGUGCCUAAUACAUGCAAGUCGAGCGAACAGACGAGGAGCUUGCUCCUCUGACGUUAGCGGCGGACGGGUGAGUAACACGUGGAUAACCUACCUAUAAGACUGGGAUAACUUCGGGAAACCGGAGCUAAUACCGGAUAAUAUAUUGAACCGCAUGGUUCAAUAGUGAAAGACGGUUUUGCUGUCGCUUAUAGAUGGAUCCGCGCCGCAUUAGCUAGUUGGUAAGGUAACGGCUUACCAAGGCAACGAUGCGUAGCCGACCUGAGAGGGUGAUCGGCCACACUGGAACUGAGACCCGGUCCAGACCCCUACGGGAGGCAGCAGUAGGGAAUCUUCCGCAAUGGGCGAAAGCCUGACGGAGCAACGCCGCGUGAGUGAUGAAGGUCUUCGGAUCGUAAAACUCUGUUAUUAGGGAAGAACAAAUGUGUAAGUAACUAUGCACGUCUUGACGGUACCUAAUCAGAAAGCCACGGCUAACUACGUG
rnacentral:rRNA from 1 species